rnacentral:tRNA from 1 species
GCCGAGGUAGCUCAGUUGGUAGAGCAACGCACUGAAAAUGCGUGGGUCCCCAGUUCAAGUCUGGGCCUCGGCACCU